rnacentral:rRNA from 1 species
UCUGGCUCAGGAUGAACGCUAGCGGCAGGCUUAACACAUGCAAGUCGAGGGGCAUCGGGAGUAGCAAUACUGCCGGCGACCGGCGCAAGGGUGCGUAACGCGUGAGCAACAUGCCCGUAUCAGGGGGAUAAUCCAUGGAAACGUGGUCUAAUACCCCAUAGUAAUUAUGUAAGGCAUCUUAUAUAAUUUAAAGCUUUGGUGGAUACGGAUUGGCUCGCGUGACAUUAGCUGGAUGGUAAGGUAACGGCUUACCAUGGCUACGAUGUCUAGGGGUUCUGAGAGGAAGGUCCCCCACACUGGAACUGAGACACGGUCCAGACUCCUACGGGAGGCAGCAGUGAGGAAUAUUGGACAAUGGAUGGAAAUCUGAUCCAGCCAUGCCGCGUGCAAGGAAGACGGCCCUAUGGGUUGUAAACUGCUUUUGUAUGGGAGCAAUAAGGGCUACGUGUAGUCCGAUGAGAGUACCAUACGAAUAAGCACCGGCUAACUCCGUGCCAGCCGCGGC